rnacentral:misc_RNA from 1 species
GGAAGUAAAAGUCAUAACAAGGUUUCCGUAGGUGAACCUGCGGAAGGAUCAUUAUUGUAUAACCGAGGUGCGAGGGCAGUCGCUGACCCGAAAGGUCGUGCACGCCCGAGUGCCCUCACACACAUCCAUCUCACCCCUAUGUGCACCACCGCGUGGGUCCCCCUUUGGCUUGUUCGGAGGGGGGCUUACGUUUUCACACAAACUUUGUAUGCAGUGUAGAAUGUAUUUUUUGUUUUUGCGAUCACGCAAUCAAUACAACUUUCAACAACGGAUCUCUUGGCUCUC